AGCAAGAGAUAAUUCUAGUUAAAACCACAACUAUUAUUGAAAACAAGUAUUCAAAAAGAAAAUGGUUCUUCUAGUCCUACAAUUUUGCCUAUUGAGAAACAGACUGAAGUAUCGUCAGGACAAGUUGAACUUCUUGCAGGUAUAUAUACACAAACAAUUCCGUCACCAUGGAGAUGACAGUUGAUUCAGAGGCAGCUGCCAGUUUACAGCAUCAUUCAAAUUCUAACGGUACAGAAGAAAGCACUAAACCGCCAAUGAGAAAUUUCAGUUGAAAAUGAACUGUGAUCUUAUUAAGAGCUUAAAAUGAAAUGGAGCUCUGAGAAUUUUCCCAUAAGUUGGUAGGACCAUUCCAGUGCCUCCUGGGCAGGGAGGAAACUGAUGCUCAAAGUCAUACAGCCAAGAGGUGGCAAUGACAAGACUCAGGACCCUUUGCCUCCAAAGCUCACAAACACUUCACAGCAAACUGUUAAUAGAGCAAGGGCAUCGGCUGCCUUGCUCACCACUGAGUUGCCAGGACCUGGAAGAAUGUCCAGUACAUUGAAGGUGCUCGACCACGUUCGCUGAAUGAAUAAUUACCACCACAUGAUACUCACAUAUAUAGUUAGCAAUUCCUACAAUGAUUAAAAUUUAAAUAUCUAAUCCAACCAAGGUUUUGGCUUUUCAUCUUUAAUUUCCUAGCAUAUAUAUAUAUGCCUAAAUAAAGUUUUUCCUCAUGCAUGUUUGUCUCACUGAAAUGCAUGCUACAAAGCCACUCACAUGCUACCUAAUAGGAUUAGGUACCACCCUAUACCUAAUCCCAACAGACUCAGUUCACAGAAUUUCUCUUCAAAUUCAUAUUGGCCCAAAGAGUUGGGGGAGUUAUCCCAGAAUAGAUAACUGGGCUCAGGCAUGGGUGGGGAAAUGACUCUCAACAGAAUUAGUCCUCACGCUAAGGAUACAAAGGAAGAAGCCCAAGUCUGGGAGGCAUACUCAAAUACAAAACCAUUAUUAUGAAAUCAACGCCUGCUGUGAUGGAAAGGUGGAUAAAAGCCACUUAAAUUUUUAGUCUCAGGGUGCACACCCC